rnacentral:siRNA from 1 species
AUCCAACCCCACUUGACUGUCAAU